AUUGAACGCUGGCGGCAUGCUUUACACAUGCAAGUCGAACGGUAACAGGUUAAGCCGACGAGUGGCGAACGGGUGAGUAAUGCAUCGGAACGUGCCCGGUCAUGGGGGAUAACGCAGCGAAAGCUGCGCUAAUACCGCAUACGAUCUGAGGAUGAAAGCGGGGGACCGUAAGGCCUCGCGCGAUCGGAGCGGCCGAUGUCAGAUUAGGUAGUUGGUGGGGUAAAGGCUCACCAAGCCGACGAUCUAUAGCUGGUCUGAGAGGACGACCAGCCACACUGGGACUGAGACACGGCCCAGACUCCUACGGGAGGCAGCAGUGGGGAAUUUUGGACAAUGGGCGCAAGCCUGAUCCAGCAAUGCCGCGUGCAGGAAGAAGGCCUUCGGGUUGUAAACUGCUUUUGUACGGAGCGAAAAGGCACUCUCUAAUACAGGGGGCUCAUGACGGUACCGUAAGAACAAGCACCGGCUAACUACGUGCCAGCCGCCGCAGUAA
rnacentral:rRNA from 1 species